rnacentral:lncRNA from 1 species
UGACAAAAGACUCAACAAACUUAACUAGUCUAUGACAGACUCUAAUAUCACCUAAAAGACUCGACAUUAUUGUACAAAAUUAGAAGAUAAAAGAUGACAUAAAAAGAAAAAUAGACUCGAAACAUAAUUAAAAAAAAUCUCCUUAAGCAACUCCUGAAUGAGCGAUCUUGACUGGAUGGUCCUGCGGUUUCUAUCAUGCUUAAACUCCAGUAAGUAGAUCCACACCUGUAUGAGAAAAUUAAGACCAGAUAAAGUUAAAGACCUAGAACACUAUCUGAGAUAAUAACACUUCCUGUUGGACACAUGCAAGACAUGAUUGAGGCUAUUUUUGCAAAAUGGCUUAUGUGGCAAAAAGUGGCUAGAAAUGCAAAAUUUGGCUAAGACCCCGCAAAGCCAAGAACCGAAGAUUCACUAGGAAGACCGGCCCUAUGUGGGUUUCCUUCGUAUCCCGCCCCGAGAGAUGAGAAUCAGGUUCGCGUAGUUCGGGAAGAUUGGAUACAGAUGAGAAUUAAAAUAACUAAUUUAGAGAAAAUAUAUUUUUUGCCUUUUUUUUUUGGAAAAAUGAUGAAACAUGUAAACUCUUUUUGGAUUUUUCUUUUUCCUUUUUUUAUUCCUUUUUUUUUUUGGAAAAUGAUGGGAAAGUGCAAAAUCUUUUUGGAUUUUUCAUAUUUUUUUUCUUUUUCCCUAAAAAAUGUGAAAGAAAAACAUAACUGGGCCCUACUUGCUUCAUUUUUAUACUUCAACCUCUAUUCUUUCUCAUUUACCCUCAAACCUCAUUGGUCCGCCAAAUGACCCCUUUUACCCUUGAAGAUUGUAAUAUGUAGCACAUUAGGAUGCAUCAGGAUGGUCUUUUAUUUUUGGGUAAACUUGUUCUAGACGGACCCAACCCCUGUGUUGAGUCCCCUAAGUCAAAUGCACGUGAUGUAAACAAACGUUCCUACUAGGGAUCCGGCAUGGGGUUAUGUUAUUAUAGGUUUAUAACCUGGGUAUAUUGUUCUAGACCUGGCUUACCUGAGCAGACAACUCGAGCCGAGGGGGGCAGCGUACCGGGAAUACAGAAGCUUGACCGGCUUUGCAACUUAUCCGAACCUCGUUCUAAUAUUGGGAUAUGACUCUAACAGAAAAGAAGUUACACGAAGUGUACACUUCCGAGAUGAUUUAGAAGACUCAGAGAGAGGAGGGUUUCGUAACGGUUUAUAUACAAUUCAAACAAUAUCAAAGCGGUAAAAAGCGACAUUUAGCACAUUAAGAUUAAACACGUAAAAAUGAGAUAAUAAAUAAAAGCCAACUAUAGCGGUUAUUCGAAGCUCGAAUUCUAAACCCUGAACCAGAAGUUCUGGGUUCUUAUCCCCAGCAGAGUUCCCAUAGUUAUCACACCUCCUUUUUCUACCCCUAGAAGGGGUAUAUGGGAGUUUUUCCAAUUAAAGUGACAAUAACCGAAACGAGAUUAUUUAUAUUAAAAUCAGAAUCGCCACUUGGGAUAAUUUAUGGUGUCCCAAGUCACCGAUUUAAAAUCCCGAAUCGAGGAAGUUGACACUUAUUUAUGGUGUGUGUACACAGAAAUCCGGGUAAGAAAUUCUGUUAAUCCAGGAGCAAGUGUUAGGCAUUCCUGGGUUAUGUAGUUUUAGCACGGUCACUCAACUGUUAAUAUUGGCCUAUUUAUUUGAUUGAUUUCAUAUUUUAUACAUAUUGUGCAUUUUUAACUGUCUAACCGCUUUUAAUGUUUAUGGAACAAAUAACGAUUUUCAUACACUUGCGAACCGCGUCAAAUGAAAUGCACCCGCGAUUUACAACAUAUUUAUUUCUAUAUUAUUCGAAGUUGUGAUCGAGUCACAUGAAAUGUACACCUGGAUGAGAUUUACGUAUCGUGACCACGCCACGGGAACCGUACCUAUAGCAACGAUGAUCUAUUAAUCUCACAUUAAUAAUCAUAAAGUAGACAACGACUAAUUCUCUUAAUCAUCUACAACAAUGCAGUACUAUAUUAAUGAUUCCUCAUUUCUGGCAUAAGAGACAAAAGAUAAUCUUUUCUAUUCCCUAAUUAUAUAUCUUAGUUUGAUCUUGGUUGAAGUUUAGAAUUAAUAAUAAACAAGAGAUUCCACUACGGCAAGCAGAAACAUUGACGUGAAGAGUUAAAGAUACAAAGCAAUAUGAACUAUACACAACUGGUUCGAUAUUGCAAGAAGCAAAUACUUUAGCAACGAAAUCAACAAAUUUGCAAAGGAACAUAUUUGAGACUGAUCUAUGCUGUAGCAAUUAGAUAUCAUAAAAUCGUGAAACACAAGCUCAUCCUAAAAUACCAGUGUAGUAGUUACAACCACUUUAAAUCAAAUCAAACUGAUAAUUAAAGUGUGAAAAAAAUAGAUCAAUGAACGAAGAAAUUCUUACGAGCACGCAUACACAGAACCGGAUCCGGAACACUGAAACAAAACUCCUCGCGCGGAAAAGGAUGCUAAACGAAUUUUGGACUCUUUACUGUUUUCAGCUUCUUCUUUUUUUUGUUUUCUUUUCUGUUUCAACCUCUAUGCCUCUCGUUUUGGACUGAAGAUCAUCGCCGGCGUUAGAGCAGAGGAGUCGUCGGCUGAUCUAGGUGAUGAGGAGGGUGUUCAUUGUUAGGGGGUCCGUUAGUUUAGUGAGAGGAGCGACGACGGCUGUGUGCUCUAGGGCUCGGGGUCUGUUGGUUAGAGAUGAAGAAGCAGUCAGUGGUUUGUUUAGGGGUGUUCAAAAGUUGAAGAAGAAGAACGGUAGGGGGCGGGGGGGGGGGGGGUCUCUUGGUAAGGGUGACGACUGGUGUUGUGUGUGCUGGUGGCAUUAGGCUGCUAUGGAGGAGUUCUUUUGUUCUCUAAUGGUGAAGAAGAAGAGAGCUCAUGGGGUUUUGCGGCUGGAGCUGUUUUUAGGAUCCUUUUUCUUUUGGCAAUCUGCUAGGCAAGCGCCUAUGGCUAGUUUUUUUAUUAAUAACAGAAAAGAAAAAUACAACAAUUAGGAAAAAUACAAAUAAGGGGGACAAUAGCACCGAUAUUGUUACCCAUAUACCUUGGCUAUAUAAUCACUCCUCUGCGCCUCACAUUGCCUUAUGAUGGCAGCCUCAUGUAGAGGAUUCAUGGUGUAGCUGUCGGCAAAGUCUCACGAGGGCAUAUAAUCUCAUAGCCGUGUGGAUAUUUUUCUAAAGGCAUAGGACCAAGGCAACACAAAACGAACUAAACCUUACCUUACUAAACCUAUUGAGGCAAAGAAAAGGAUUAGCUACUUCGGAGUUUUUUUUUGUUGAAGAAGAUGACUCCCAGGACCAUCUCUUUGUGUCAAAAACGCUGAAGCUUCUCAAGAUCCUUAGGGUUUUCUUGUUGUCUUCAUGGAAGAAGAAAAGUGUUCGUUAGUCUAGUUCCCAAAAACGGCUGAUCGGCU